CCUACGUGUGGCAGCAGUGGGGAAUAUUGCACAAUGGGGGAAACCCUGAUGCAGCAACGCCGCGUGGGUGAAGGAGCGUUUCGGCGCGUAAAGCCCUGUCAGCGGGGAAGAAGUAAGACGGUACCCGACCAAGAAGCCCCGGCUAACUACGUGCCAGCAGCCGCGGUAAUACGUAGGGGGCGAGCGUUAUCCGGAAUUACUGGGGGUAAAGGGAGCGUAGACGGCGAGGUAAACCUGAGGUGGAAGCCCGCGGCCCAACCGCGGAACUGCUUUGGGGACUGUUUUGCUGGAGAAUGGGAGGGGUAGGCGGAAUUCCUGGUGUAGCGGUGAAAUGCGUAGAUAUCAGGAGGAACACCGAUGGCGAAGGCAGCUUACUAGACCAUAACUGACGUUGAGGCUCGAGAGCGUGGGGAGCGAACAGGAUUAGAUACCCUUGUAGUC
rnacentral:rRNA from 1 species